GUGAGCCUACGGGGGGCAGCAGUGAGGAAUAUUGGUCAAUGGGCGGAAGCCUGAACCAGCCAAGUCGCGUGAGGGAUUAAGGCCCUAUGGGUCGUAAACCUUUUUUGUCAGGGAGCAAGGCCUCUCACGUGUGGGAGGUUGGAGAGUACCUGAAGAAAAAGCAUCGGCUAACUCCGUGCCAGCAGCCGCGGUAAUACGGAGGAUGCGAGCGUUAUCCGGAUUUAUUGGGUUUAAAGGGUGCGUAGGCGGGUCCUUACGUCAGCGGUAACAUUGCGGUGCUCAUCGCCGUAGAGCCGUUGAAACUG
rnacentral:rRNA from 1 species